AUUGAACGCUGGCGGCAGGCCUAACACAUGCAAGUCGAACGAGUGGCGGACGGGUGAGUAAUGUCUGGGAAACUGCCUGAUGGAGGGGGGUAACUACUGGAAACGGUAGCUAAUACCGCAUACCAUCGGAUGUGCCCAGAUGGGAUUAGCUAGUAGGUGGGGUAAAGGCUCACCUAGGCGACGAUCCCUAGCUGGUCUGAGAGGAUGACCGACGCAACUGGAACUGUGUCACGGUCCGGAAGCCUAUGGGAGGCAGACGUGGGGAAUAUUGCACAAUGGGCGCAAGCCUGAUGCAGCCAUGCCGCGGGUAGGAAGAAGGCCUUCGGUUUGUAAAGUACUUUCAGCGGUGAGGCGUUACCCGCAGAAGAAGCACCGGCUAACUCCGUGCCAGCAGCCGCGGUAAUUC
rnacentral:rRNA from 1 species